rnacentral:rRNA from 1 species
UGGGGAAUUUUGGACAAUGGGGGAAACCCUGAUCCAGCCAUCCCGCGUGUGCGAUGAAGGCCUUCGGGUUGUAAAGCACUUUUGGCAGGAAAGAAACGUCAUGGGUUAAUACCCCGUGAAACUGACGGUACCUGCAGAAUAAGCACCGGCUAACUACGUGCCAGCAGCCGCGGUAAUACGUAGGGUGCAAGCGUUCAUCGGAAUUACUGGGCGUAAAGCGUGCGCAGGCGGUUCGGAAAGAAAGAUGUGAAAUCCCAGAGCUCAACUUUGGAACUGCAUUUUUAACUACCGGGCUAGAGUGUGUCAGAGGGAGGUGGAAUUCCGCGUGUAGCAGUGAAAUGCGUAGAUAUGCGGAGGAACACCGAUGGCGAAGGCAGCCUCCUGGGAUAACACUGACGCUCAUGCACGAAAGCGUGGGGAGCAAACAGG